AUGAAAGUCUUUUUGGAAAUGUCUUUCAACCUGAAAAACCCUGCUGUGGUUAUGAAUACUGGGAUUCAUUGCGGGCAUGAAUUGUCUCUUCAGAAUACAGCGGGAGGUCAACAUCUAGCAGAGAAUAUCCAUGGCAGCUAUCAUAAUAAAUUCUCUCCUAAAACAGUGAGGCAGACUUCAAGAUCUGCUCUGAAUCUGGAUAAAAGCAGGAGACAACAACAGCCAACAAUGGAAACUCUUCCACUCACACGAUGUGAGGAUAUCGUGACUUGGCAAAAUCCUGCUUUGUGCUACUUCCUGGAUACUGGACAACAGGACAACUGUGUGAACUGAAGACAAGAUUUAUUAACCCUGAUACUUCAGUAAUCAGUCAAAAUGAAAGGAAGAGAGGGCAGAGAGAGUGAAUGAAAGGGUGAAUAAAACUAGUUCUUCAUGGCA
rnacentral:lncRNA from 1 species